UCUCUUACAGUCUAGGUCAUUGCUUUUCUCUGAUUCUGGCCCUGACUCCAUCCGUAGUGCUAAUCCCUCAAGUCCACUCAGCUGUGUGUUUGUUUGUGUGAAAGAAAGGAUUUACAUGCACGUAUCAUGUGGAGUUUGUCCUCUUUCCUUUCUCUUUCUCUGCACCUCCUCUUCCUUGCUGUCUCCUGUGUUUCCUCAUAUCUCGUCCCUCUCUCUCCCCCACGCUGAAAUGGGUCAUCUGUCCCUGACAGGAAUGAAAACGAGAACAGCAGCGAUGAGGACAACAAGCCUCUGCAGGGCAGCCAGACUUCACUGGACGGCAACGUAAAGGAAAGUGAUGACAGCUUGGUAGACUAUGGCGAAGGCGGCGAUGGCCAGUUUAACGAGGAUGGCUCGUUUAUUGGCCAGUACACAGUGAAGAAGGACAAGGAUGAGACAGAGGGCAACGAGAGCUCCGAGGCCACCUCGCCCGUCAAUGCCAUCUACUCACUGGCAUAGCGGCACAGAAGUGCACAGAGGAACUCAGCAGUACCCUCUGGUUUAAGGGCGUUACAACCAACAACAGCACCAUACACCAGACAAACACACACACACACACACACACACACGAUUAUAUGAAUAUAUGAAACACAAUAUACAACGGAAAAAACCUGGCAGGGCCUCUCUGGGGACUGUAUAGGCUCACCUCUGCAGAUGAAGUGGAGGAACACAGGAGUGGAAUUAGACCACAAGCCUUUAAUUUAUGUUUCCAGCUCUAAGAAUAUGGCCCAUUGAAGGUGAUGUUUGGACAAAGUGGACAGUGCUCAUUUUCUUCUGUGCUCUGCCUGCCCUUUACCCACACAGACUUGAAGUGUGCCUUCAGGGCAGCUUUCAGCAUUUGGAGGCAUCAACAAGCGUUUAGAGAUUUUUUUUUUUGUUUGUUUGUUAAUUUCUGCCCCAAACAUUUUCUGUGCCCCUGUUGUCCUUCUUGACAUGUCCCUCAUACUUCUGUGUGGCAUCCCAGUAGAAUAAACGCAGAAUUAUUACACACACACAGACACACACACACGCUCACUGGCCCCAUCCUGUAACAUAUCAGCUUCUUACCAUCAAUGUCAACAGGAUGCUGGCAGAUAUGUUUAUCAUAUUGAUAUUUACACAAUGAAAGAUUUUAGUUUUUCCACUGCUGGUAGAUUAGUCAUUUAAUCUUAAUGAAUGCUGUAUACAGUCCUGGCACACAUUUUAGUGCCCUGCAAAACUAUGCACUAUCACCUCCUCCAUACCAUCUUGGGUUUAAUGUGGUUAGUAAAAGUACACAUUUUGGGUUUCUUUUUAGCACUCGCCGCCUAAAUCACAUGCUUUUAUUCACUUUGCCUUGAACUAUGUGGUAGACAUGUAUUUCUUACCUCUAAUCCAACGUCAUUGUGCAGAUGUUAAAAAUGGGCUCCAUGAAAAAAGUAAUUUCCUGCACAAGCAGCGAGCUCUGUUACGUUAUACUGUUAAUGAGUCCCAUUGUUUUAAAAAAAGAUUCAACAAAAACAUUAUUUUGGAGCAUGGUAGUAAACUUAGUGCAAGAUGAAUAGGAAGGCAACAGAAAGGAAAGUUAGUUUUGCUUGAGAAACACCAGUAGACCACAACCCAGUGAAUUCCCUAGUUAGCAUGCAGGCUAAUGCUGCAUUCAUGUCAAAUGGGAACAGCUGUUGGUUGACACUAAAAAUUCUGACAGCUGCGCUUCUUUGCAGCUGCGAGGCUUUCAUGAUUCUGUUAGACUUUGGUUUCUCGUUUGUUACAUGUGAAUGCGUAAACUAUUACUUUUGAAAGUCUGUUUUACGGCAAACCCAAAGUUGCAACGUCAAUCUAACACCGUGAUCACAUCGUGGCUUAUUAUGACUGAAAGAAAAUAUUCUUGUACAACUUAGCUACCUGUAUUUUCUUGAUGGCGACACCACAAUUCUGUAAAUUUGGGGUCACAUUUAGUUUUUAGCUCCUGUUAUCUGAGAUGUAUAAUGUUGUCAGGUCGGAAGCUUAUACGUAUGUUCACUCCCGUGGGACAUGAAUGCAGCAGAAGAGGUUCUGAUCCUUCAGGUGUGUUCGGACUAAACUUUGCCUCAAGUAAUUCACAUUGAUUUGAUCAUUGAAUUGUUAUUACAGUCCCUAAACAGCCAAUGUACGGAUGUUAACUACUAUCAUAUUCCCCAAGUUCCAGUUCUUACAGAUAUUUACCUCCACACCUUGGAAACAUGAAGUCAGUUAUUUUGUGUCAUCUCAUCUCUUUGCAUCGACUUUACAGGCAAGCACACUGCCUCUAAAACUGUCUCUGUGUUUAGUCUGAACCCACCUUCACAGAGGGAUCUCUACCACUUCCCUUCCUUCUAAUUUUUAUAAACUCAAUUUGUUGAUCAUUACACAUGAAAAAAGAUGUUGGUGAACUACUUACAUUAAAUGACAAGAUUUACAGCAUGAAAGUAUAUACACUAAAUUCACAGCCACCUUUGAAAUGAAAUGUAUCAGCUUCAUUUUUAGUUUUUUGCAGAGGAAGAGAGAAAAAAAGAACACCUUUAAGAAGGAUGUGCACUCAGUAUUUCACUUGUCCUACAAGCUGAUUCAUCAUGUUGUCAUUCUAGUUGCAGACUGACAGUCAGUGAUUUGUUUUUGUUUCUUUAUUUUCCACUAAAUGUCACUGAGUGCUUAUUGGAUUCAUCACUUCAUUUUAGCACUCGUCAGUUCAAGUACCUGCUGCUCAACAGCACUAUUAACCCUCCAAUGCUAAAUCAAAUAGAUCUUAACUACGGUUAGGUUCACAUUGUAUUUCAAAUAUUUAAUUUAUAUUUCUAUUUAUUACAUGAUGUGGGAUAGUAUUAAUAUAUUAGUGCUUAAUUUGAUAAUUGUUAUAUAAACAUUUUGACCACCUUAUUUUGUUGUUAUGUACCAGAAAUAGCCAAACUUAAGAUAUCUCCAGAAUCUGUUAUUGCUCAUCAUUGGAGGCAUCAAACACGACAGUAUGUUAAAGAUAUUUUUGUAGCAGCUGGCUUUUCUGCUGUGAACAAAACUACACAAACCAUAUACAUGUCAUCGUCCAUGAAAAGGAUCAUGUUUCUCUGUCCAUUGUGCUGCUCUUCUCGUACUCAUGUGGUAUUACUGUUACUGUGUUGUUAUUCAGAUUUAUGUAACAUAAUCUUUCCACCGCACAGAAAAUUAAUAUUAUUGCUUAUUACUUAUUUGGCAUAUAUUCUGUAUAUGUUGGUCCUGAAAGAAUAUUUCUCAUCUUUGUAAAUAUUUAAAACAUGUUCCCGCCCACCCCCCCCAAAAAAAUGCUUUAUCUGAAAAGACAAAACAAAGAGUCACAAAUCUGUAUCCACCAAGCAAAUGCGACGGUGCAUCUUUACUCUGUCAUGCACCUUUGUAAUGUAGCUUUGACUAACAUUUGCACUCUGAAAUAAUAACAAGAAUCAUUCUUCUCUAUGUUACCCUUUGCUUUUGCAUUGUAAUAUAUGGUACUGGCUGUGGCAAGUCUCAGUCAAUCGUUUGAUGAUGGUUUGGAUUCUAUAUUGUGAAAGAGGAAUACGUUAGAUUCUCUAUGAUGUAAAUAAGAAGUGCUCCUGCAGUAUACUGUCUGUAGCAUUUGUCACACACAAACUGCUAAUAGGCCUAGAAACAUGCAUUGGAACAAAGUCCCCUCCUUUACGCUGUUACACAUUUGUCUUCUUUCUGAGACUGCAUACAUUCUCUCCCAUAAUGCCUUUCAUGCCAGUUCCUAACAUGGCUAUCGUUACACUGCUGUGUCCCACUUCAGGGGUCACUUAGUGAAAGUUGAACCUCCUCCUCCUCUUCCUCCUCCACAUCCUGCUGCCCUUUCUUUGUGCUAUUAUGACCCUUAAUGUUACUUUCAAGUGCUCUUUGGCAACUUGUAAAAUGCACAUUUCAGAAAUUACUCCCGGAACAUUAUUGUUAGAUGCAAUAUUGUAGUUCCAUAUCACUGCAGACCUGAGUAGUCGAUGACCUGGGGCUUUAGGGCCCUGGCACAGGGUUCUACUCUGUGUCUUCACACACCAACAAUGUCAUUGUCAUUUGAAGGGACCAAUCAGAUUGAUCCCAGUUGAUGACAGUAAGUCUGCUCAGUGUCUACCUUGUGAGGGAUUUUAAUGAUUCAUUUUCUCUGUACUGUGUGUAUCUCAGACUGUGCUACAUGGAUACAUACUGUACCUGAAACUUGCAGUGUCAUCUCCUGAACAGCACCCAUAUUUACUUCCAGAAGCUCGUACCAAACCAGUCAGACAGCAAGGUAAACAAAUGCAGAACCUAAUGCUUGGCAAUGACUACAUGUCACAUCGCAUCAAUGUCAGAAGGUUAGAAGUGGUUAAUAUCAGUGGCUAACUUGGAUUAGAUUAUUUUAAUACCUGCUCAACAACUGACAGUGUAUCAGGUUGACUUAUACAGACAAAUAUAUUCAGACAAUAUCUUAUCUGUGAUGCUCCUGUGACAUUUUCAGAAAUGAUUAUUUACAUACGUCAGCCGCUUUGCGUUGGUCUGCUCUAUCUCAUACAAUUACAAGUUGACAAGGAUCACCUUCACGCACAAUUGCACAUCUGGUGCGCAAUCAAUUGCAGAAAUAUGUGCAAAGAAAGGCUUCUCUUUCUUUGCUCACCCUGAGGAGACUUUGAAUAUGGACAAACCUUGUGGAUCUAGUAUGAAAAUGUCAUUGUGUGGACCUGAAAGGGGGUGAUCUCUAAAAUGAAACACAGUGUAUAUCACAGCGGUGCCACCACUGGCAGCCUGGUAUUUUUCCCUCCUUCCAACACAAACAGGUGUCUGAUUCUCUAAAAACACCUCUCAGAAACUUAUAUCUGCCUGAAAACUUAUUUUGCUUGUCUUUCUGCAGAACCUCAAAGCAAUAUCCUCUGAAUUUUGUUCAGCUGGGUGAUUUCUCUGAUGCCAUUGUUGUGCAGUGCAUUCAAUCUAACCUUGGUGUGACCGCAGCAAGUUGUUGGAGACAAACAAGUUGACAAGCAGGAGACUGGUGUUGAAACAGAAUAAAACCAUAAGGAACAACACUGAGAGAUCAAACAUUAGGUUGGAAUGUAAGUCUGAAAUUUCUUACAGGACUUGUUGGAAGUUUUUUCUUCAACAUUUGAUCUUAAAAUGUGCACCCCCUCUACUCACAUGGCCUUUCACUUUGCCCCCAGCUACAUUACAAAGAAAUAUGCAUAUUUGCUGGUACACAAUGCUUUUUGUAUUUUGCCCUUCUGUUUGUGCACAUUGAUUUGGGGUGCGCACGGAGCUGAUUGUCUCUUUUUACUGUCCACGUCAUCUCAGCUCACCUGUCAUGGGGAAGAAAAGUGAAUAUAAACAUGCAGUUUGACAGUUUUGCAUUUUUCCGUCAUUUCAAAAUGCUGCAGAGUCAACAGUUUUACUGGUGCACAUUUGCAACUACAUUUUUUUAAUGACUGAUCACGUUUGUUUUUUGUUUUUUUUGUGAACUGUCAUAUUAGCAUCAUCUUGUUUUUACUGUGUGCAUCAGAGCAGCUUGUCAAAGUCUUGCUUCAACACGCAAAAUAACAGCUUUUGUAAGGUACAUCUAUUCAACAGAAAAUGGCAUAAAUAUAUUCACCAUGUAUGCGUGUAUGAUGAGAUGUUGCAACUUCUGCUAGUGACGCCUUCUUUAUAGUAAAGCUAUCUCCUUUUCUCUA